GGUUAAGUGACUAAGCGUACACGGUGGAUGCCUAGGCAGUCAGAGGCGAUGAAGGGCGUGCUAAUCUGCGAAAAGCGUCGGUAAGGUGAUAUGAACCGUUACAACCGGCGAUACCCGAAUGGGGAAACCCAGUGUGUUUCGACACACUAUCAUGUCAUGAAUACAUAGUGGCAUGAGGCGAACCGGGGGAACUGAAACAUCUAAGUACCCCGAGGAAAAGAAAUCAACCGAGAUUCCCCCAGUAGCGGCGAGCGAACGGGGAGGAGCCCAGAACCUGAAUCGGCUUGUGUGUUAGUGGAAGCGUCUGGAAAGUCGCGCAGUAAAGGGUGAUAGCCCCGUACACUAAAAUGCACAGGUCGUGAGUUCGAUGAGUAGGGCGGGACACGUGACAUCCUGUCUGAAUAUGGGGGGACCAUCCUCCAAGGCUAAAUACUCCUGACUGACCGAUAGUGAACCAGUACCGUGAGGGAAAGGCGAAAAGAACCCCGGCGAGGGGAGUGAAAUAGAACCUGAAACCGUGUACGUACAAGCAGUGGGAGCACCUUCGUGGUGUGACUGCGUACCUUUUGUAUAAUGGGUCAGCGACUUAUAUUUUGUAGCAAGGUUAACCGUAUAGGGGAGCCGUAGGGAAACCGAGUCUUAACUGGGCGAAUAGUUGCAAGGUAUAGACCCGAAACCCGGUGAUCUAGCCAUGGGCAGGUUGAAGGUUGGGUAACACUAACUGGAGGACCGAACCGACUAAUGUUGAAAAAUUAGCGGAUGACUUGUGGCUGGGGGUGAAAGGCCAAUCAAACCGGGAGAUAGCUGGUUCUCCCCGAAAGCUAUUUAGGUAGCGCCUCGUGAACUCAUCUUCGGGGGUAGAGCACUGUUUCGGCUAGGGGGCCAUCCCGGCUUACCAAACCGAUGCAAACUCCGAAUACCGAAGAAUGUUAUCACGGGAGACACACGGCGGGUGCUAACGUCCGUCGUGAAGAGGGAAACAACCCAGACCGCCAGCUAAGGUCCCAAAGUCAUGGUUAAGUGGGAAACGAUGUGGGAAGGCAUAGACAGCCAGGAUGUUGGCUUAGAAGCAGCCAUCAUUUAAAGAAAGCGUAAUAGCUCACUGGUCGAGUCGGCCUGCGCGGAAGAUGUAACGGGGCUAAACCAUGCACCGAAGCUGCGGCAGCGACGCUUAGGCGUUGUUGGGUAGGGGAGCGUUCUGUAAGCCGUUGAAGGUGGCCUGUGAGGGUUGCUGGAGGUAUCAGAAGUGCGAAUGCUGACAUAAGUAACGAUAAAGCGGGUGAAAAGCCCGCUCGCCGGAAGACCAAGGGUUCCUGUCCAACGUUAAUCGGGGCAGGGUGAGUCGACCCCUAAGGCGAGGCUGAAAAGCGUAGUCGAUGGGAAACAGGUUAAUAUUCCUGUACUUGGUGUUACUGCGAAGGGGGGACGGAGAAGGCUAGGCUAGCCGGGCGACGGUUGUCCCGGUUUAAGCGUGUAGGGGGUGUGACCUGGUAAAUCCGGUUGCAUAUCAACCCUGAGGCGUGAUGACGAUGCACUACGGUGCAGAAGUAGUUGAUGCCCUGCUUCCAGGAAAAGCCUCUAAGCUCCAGGUAACAUUGAAUCGUACCCCAAACCGACACAGGUGGUCAGGUAGAGAAUACCAAGGCGCUUGAGAGAACUCGGGUGAAGGAACUAGGCAAAAUGGUGCCGUAACUUCGGGAGAAGGCACGCUGGCAUGUAGGUGAAGUCCCUUGCGGAUGGAGCUGAAGCCAGUCGAAGAUACCAGCUGGCUGCAACUGUUUAAUAAAAACACAGCACUGUGCAAACACGAAAGUGGACGUAUACGGUGUGACGCCUGCCCGGUGCUGGAAGGUUAAUUGAUGGGGUCAGCCGCAAGGCGAAGCUCUUGAUCGAAGCCCCAGUAAACGGCGGCCGUAACUAUAACGGUCCUAAGGUAGCGAAAUUCCUUGUCGGGUAAGUUCCGACCUGCACGAAUGGCGUAAUGAUGGCCAGGCUGUCUCCACCCGAGACUCAGUGAAAUUGAACUCGCUGUGAAGAUGCAGUGUACCCGCGGCAAGACGGAAAGACCCCGUGAACCUUUACUAUAGCUUGACACUGAACAUUGAGCCUUGAUGUGUAGGAUAGGUGGGAGGCUUUGAAGCGUGGACGCCAGUCUGCGUGGAGCCAUCCUUGAAAUACCACCCUUUAAUGUUUGAUGUUCUAACUCGGCCCCAUAAUCUGGGGUGAGGACAGUGUCUGGUGGGUAGUUUGACUGGGGCGGUCUCCUCCCAAAGAGUAACGGAGGAGCACGAAGGUUAGCUAAUCACGGUCGGACAUCGUGAGGUUAGUGCAAAGGCAUAAGCUAGCUUGACUGCGAGAGUGACGGCUCGAGCAGGUACGAAAGUAGGUCUUAGUGAUCCGGUGUGGUUCUGAAUGGAAGGGCCAUCGCUCAACGGAUAAAAGGUACUCCGGGGAUAACAGGCUGAUACCGCCCAAGAGUUCAUAUCGACGGCGGUGUUUGGCACCUCGAUGUCGGCUCAUCACAUCCUGGGGCUGAAGUAGGUCCCAAGGGUAUGGCUGUUCGCCAUUUAAAGUGGUACGCGAGCUGGGUUUAGAACGUCGUGAGACAGUUCGGUCCCUAUCUGCCGUGGGCGUUGGAAGAUUGAGAGGGGUUGCUCCUAGUACGAGAGGACCGGAGUGAACGCACCACUGGUGUUCGGGUUGUCAUGCCAAUGGCAUUGCCCGGUAGCUAAGUGCGGAAAAGAUAAGCGCUGAAAGCAUCUAAGCGCGAAACUUGCCUCAAGAUGAGUCUUCCCUGGGCCUUUAAGGCCCCUGAAGGAACGUUUAAGACUAAGACGUUGAUAGGCUGGGUGUGUAAGUGCAGCGAUGCAUUGAGCUAACCAGUACUAAUGAUCCGUGAGGCUUAACCUU
rnacentral:rRNA from 1 species